AUUUUUAAAGUGUUAAUUUUAUUACUGGCUGAAUACAUUAGAAAUAUUUAUAUAUAAAAAGAUGAUAUGUGAAUUAUCAAUCCCAUUUUAUUAAAGAAUACUUUGCCAAGUACUCAUCUAAAAAACAUUUUUUUUAUUUAUCCUACUAAAUCUGCAUAAAAGUGUUAAGGGAACAUUCAUUUACCAUGUUGAAUAAAUCAGACAGUUUUCUAUUUCAAAUAGAUUUCUGAAUUCCUUUAAUAGCUCAAUUAAAAAUGCAAGGUUCAAGGUAUAAUAAAGAGGUGAAUUUGAUGAAAAUACAUUAGAAGUAUAUAUGGAAAUAUGAUAAAUCCCUUUUUAAAAUUAAUAGAUGUUAAUAAAAACCAUAGGAUUCUAUGUUAUUAUUAAAAUAAACACAAUAACAUUAAAUAAGUUUUGCAAUAAUUCUCCAUGAUAUCUGGUAGGCAGGCUUACAUCCUUAUAUGCAAAACAUGAAACAAAGUCCAAGCAUAUUGUAAAAUCCCAUUAGGUAAUGAUCAGUUUAAUGUGGCAUUUUUCAAGUUAAUA